GAGUUUGAUCCUGGCUCAUGAUGAACGCUGGCGGCGUGCUUAACACAUGCAAGUCGAGCGCGGUCCCUUUGGUGCUUGCACCAAAGAAGACUGAGCGGCGGACGGGUGAGUAACGCGUGGGUAACCUGCCCUAUACACAUGGAUAACAUGCUGAAAAGCAUACUAAUACAUGAUAACGUACACUGAUGGCAUCUUCGGUGUAUCAAAGCGUUAGCGGUAUAGGAUGGACCCGCGUCUGAUUAGCUAGUUGGUGGGGUAAAAGCCUACCAAGGCCACGAUCAGUAGCCGACCUGAGAGGGUGAUCGGCCACAUUGGAACUGAGACACGGUCCAAACUCCUACGGGAGGCAGCAGUGGGGAAUAUUGCACAAUGGGCGAAAGCCUGAUGCAGCAACGCCGCGUGAACGAUGAAGGUCUUCGGAUCGUAAAGUUCUGUCGCAGGGGAAGAUAAUGACGGUACCCUGUGAGGAAGCACCGGCUAACUACGUGCCAGCAGCCGCGGUAAUACGUAGGGUGCUAGCGUUAUCCGGAUUUACUGGGCGUAAAGGGUGCGUAGGUGGUCUUUCAAGUCGGUGGUUAAAGGCUACGGCUCAACCGUAUUAAGCCGCCGAAACUGGAAGACUUGAGUGCAGGAGAGGAAAGUGGAAUUCUCAGUGUAGCGGUGAAAUGCGUAGAUAUUGAGAAGAACACCAGUAGCGAAGGCGGCUUCUGGACUGUAACUGACACUGAGGCACGAAAGCGUGGGUAGCAAACAGGAUUAGAUACCCUGGUAGUCCACGCCGUAAACGAUGAGUAUUAGGUGUCGGGGGUUACCCCCCUCGGUGCCGCAGUUAACGCAUUAAAUACUCCGCCUGGGGAGUACGCACGCAAGUGUGAAACUCAAAGGAAUUGACGGGGACCCGCACAAGUAGCGGAGCAUGUGGUUUAAUUCGAAGCAACGCGAAGAACCUUACCUAAGCUUGACAUCUCUCAGAUCGGUAGUUAAUCCUACCUUCCCUUCGGGGCUGAGAUGACAGGUGGUGCAUGGUUGUCGUCAGCUCGUGUCGUGAGAUGUUGGGUUAAGUCCCGCAACGAGCGCAACCCUUGUCUUUAGUUGCCAGCAUUAAGUUGGGCACUCUAGAGAGACUGCCAGGGAUAACCUGGAGGAAGGUGGGGAUGACGUCAAAUCAUCAUGCCCCUUAUGCUUAGGGCUACACACGUGCUACAAUGGGUGGUACAGAGGGUUGCCAAGCCGCAAGGUGGAGCUAAUCCCUUAAAGCCAUUCUCAGUUCGGAUUGUAGGCUGAAACUCGCCUACAUGAAGCUGGAGUUACUAGUAAUCGCAGAUCAGAAUGCUGCGGUGAAUGCGUUCCGCGGGUCUUGUACACACCGCCCGUC
rnacentral:rRNA from 1 species